rnacentral:lncRNA from 1 species
UGUGCAGGUGUGAACAGGUGUGUGCAGGUGAGUCCUGACAGGUGUGUACAGGUGUGUGCAGGUGAGUCCUGACAGGUGUGUGCAGGUGUGUGCAGGUGAGUCCUGCAGGUGUGCUCAGGUGUGCUCAGGGGAGCCCCAC